rnacentral:rRNA from 1 species
AGAGUUUGAUCCUGGCUCAGGAUAAACGCUAGCGGCAGGCCUAACACAUGCAAGUCGAGGGGCAUCGGAUAGAGUACUUCGGUACUCUUGCUGGCGACCGGCGGACGGGUGCGUAACGCGUAUGCAACCUACCUUCAACAGGGGGAUAAUCCGAAGAAAUUUGGUCUAAUACCCCAUAAUAUUCCGACAGGCAUCUGUCGGAGUUGAAAGCUUCGGUGGUUGGAGAUGGGCAUGCGUUGUAUUAGCUAGAUGGG